ACCCGGUUGGACAUUUUUAUUGGUAAUAAAAGGAAAGUAGAGAAGUGCUUGACCCAUGAACGAGAUGGAUUUGGAAGAUGGAUUUGAAGCUAAGAAUGCCUGAUGUUCAGCACUGCUCUGUACAGAUUCUUUCCAAGGGCCUGAGAGGAACCCCACUUAUUCUGCUUUCAUUACCUUUUAACUUUUUAUUUAAAAUACUCCCCAAAACUACAUACUCACCAGGACCCACAAUACCUGAUUGUGAACCUAAAAAUGGAUUAUGGAUUCGUGAGGCUACAUGAUCUAUCAGCACACUUAUGUGGACCAAAGCUUUCUAGGGGAUUUAAGUAAGAUGUUAGAACUGUCUUCUACAUCACAAACACAGAAAGGUAUGAUAAAAUUAAAGCAUCACCAGCCUACCAGUCGGUCCACCACCACUGCCACAAGUGAGCACUUAAUGUUAGCUCACUGUCGUUCAUCACGUCAAAUCAGUAUUGUUCAUCUGAGUGCGGCAUUUGUCAUUUUGUUGGAAUUCAGUGUGCAAAUUUGUUUUGGAUUUUCAGUUGUAGAUGCACUAUAAGCUGAAGGGAUGUACGUCUACUUUUGAAUUUGUAUAUACUGACGGAACAUUACAAUAUGAAAUAAUUUCAAUAUGGUACAAGGCAAAUAUAAAAAAUGGGGCAGGGAGGGAGAAAGGAAAGAAUUAAGGAAGUUGGGAAGGAAGCAAAGGGAACUUAGUCUGGAACCCCAAAGAAAACAACUCUAUAGCCUAAGGGUUCGGAUUCCUAAAUCACAAACAUCACCUCAUGGAUUGCUUGGGUGUCACACAAUGAGACCCAGACCUGCCUUAAGUAAUGUUCUCAUUUAUUCAACAAAAUUUCUGGCCCCAUUAAGGCCCUAUGCUUAAGUCUGAUAGAUGGUUUAUUAUUUACUACAGCUACCAAGGAGGGGAGAGACGAGAAUGGAACAUUCUCCAGGUAAAAAUGCACAAAUCUAGGUAGAAAUAAUCUCACCUACAUAACGAUCACAAAUACUUGUUUACAGCCUUUUAGGCAACAUGAGAAGACUAGUAAGGUGCUCAAGAUGACACUUUCCUUUAAGAUUAAAAUAUCUGUGGGAGCUUUUGGUCCAUUAAGGCCCGAAUACGUUUCAUCCACCACGUUCCAAGUGGCAUGCUCCUGAAACUAAUUCCCUCUGCAGUUUAACUCCAGAGCUUCUCAGGGGAAACCAACUAAUUUUUAAUAUUGGAUUAAGCAAAAUACAAUUAGGAAGGCAAAUUUCUAAGAGGGAGAAAUCAUGCAGAAUAUUCCCAAGCCAAUUUGUAUGAUUUUGCAACAUUCAUUGUUUGAGUUCUCCUCUCCAUCCCUCCUUUCACAGGUAAUCAUGAAUUGCCUGUAAUUAAAAAAUCUCAGGUAACUGGCAGCAGGAACAUUCCUUGAGAAUUGUUUCCUAGGUCUCAGUAAUAAGCCUAGAUUUUUAUAUUUGCCACUAUUUUGAUGCUAGAUAUUCCUUCUCCUCUUUGUCUACUUCGAACUUGAGCAUUCUAAGGACUCUCUCCCUUUGAUCUGGAAAGGAAGAGAUACUCUGUUUUAUAUCUACAGCCACAUCUGAGUCCAACAGCUGAUUGUUGCAUCCUUGACCACAUUAUCUUUAUCCCUCCAGGAAUGGGCCUCAAAAUGAAAGAAGUUUGACUGUUAGUGAUUCGUAAGAUAUUAGAGCUCAGCAGGCCCUGAGAGCUGAGCUUGUCCAAAGACAUAUAAUAAGACUGAAAGUAUUCCUUUGUCUGCUUGGAGGGAAACCCCGAUAGGCCCUCUAGAUAUGAAUGUUUAUUUCUAAAUUUGAUUUUUUCCAAACACUUGUUGAAAGAGAUUCAACAAGACCUUACACUAACGGCUACAUUGUCCAAGGAAAUAUCCUUCCAUCUAUAGAUUGGUAGUUGGUUUUUCAUUAGGACGAAGGUUAAUUAAAAUCUUAAAAGAUUUCCACCUAUCUCAAUAUGAGGAAAGGCACAUGAAAAGGGAAAAUUAUCUUGCACUAAAAUCUCGGGGAAUUUUACACACCACUCUUAGAAUAUGAAUUUUAUGUUUGGAUGAGAUCAUAUAAUAUACCUUCGGAUAAAUCCACAGUUUCUAUUUGGAAUCAUAGUUUGUGAUCUAUUUGGUUUAUCCAUGGUUUAAAUUCAAAGAUGCCAAAUUGAGCAUGCCUCAGGUUUGCUACACAGCAUGAGGGGAAAAAAUGACCACUAAGAGCCAUGUGGUUCCACCCUGCUAUUUUCUUUUUUUUUUCUAACAUACGUCUAUCUUGCUGACCUCUGCUCCAUACCCAUGAUCUCUUAUCUAGGCCAUGAGCAGAGGACACAUUCUCCAGGGAUCAUAAUAAAUAAAAGAAGGUAAAGGGGAUUUUUUUUAAAAAAGAGGAGUACAAAUUACAGUUCCAGGAAAACUGGAAAGCAAAAUGUAAAUGAGAGUCCCUCAUUAUUUCUUUUUAAGGAUACUGGCACACUUAAAAUGUGGAUUUAAAUGUAGGUUCAGUAUAUACACAUUUCUGUGUGUGCAUAUCGGGCCUGUGUGUGCUCCAUGCCUUUCUCCAGGAAGGCCAAAGUGCCCUCACACACCGAUUUCAGAUCACAUAGUGUCAGUGCAGCUGGGACCAGUGUGGGAGGCAGGCUACAGAAGUGACUAGAGCAGAGUUGGAAAGAAAACUAGAUUCUAAUCCAGUUCAGGCACCUAUCAGGUAGGUAAUCUUGGGCAAAAAUGUCUCUGUAUCGGCUUCUCAGGCUGCAGCUGUCAACAUCCAAUGGCACACCGGAAGUAAAGCGCCAUGCUAGGUGUAUAGCAGAUAGUCAGUAAAUGGCAGAGAGUUUGUGACCAUCACUCAAUGGAUGCCUGAGCAUGAGUGAUCAGCUGGCUUAGUGUCAUUCCAUUCCAUCUGCUGCGCAACAUCAAAUAAACGUGUGCACUGUGUAACAGGUGGCCACCAGUGGAUGCUUUAUCUGCAUGACACUGUGCAACUCUUUGCAAAGUUCUUGCCCUGGGUAGACUCUUUUCUGAGGCCUAUUUUAUCUCCCCAGCUCCCUGCCCUACUCCUACACAACACCUUGCACACACACACACACACACACACACACACACUGUUUACCAUUUAAUUGACUAGCUGUUUUAGCUUCCUGGACAGACAGCAACAGAGCUAAAAAUAGCUGGGUCCUCCCAAACCAGCAACCCUUUAAAGGAGCUAAAUUGCCCUGCUUUUAAUUCUCCACCAAAAUCUGAUCUCAGGCUUUAUAAAAGAGAAGCGCUAAGGGCCCUUCUACGAUAGAGUGUUCCGCAAUUGACAUGCUGUCCAUUGCUUGAAAGGUUUUGUACACUGGUACUUAAUCCUUGUUUCAGUUACAACCCCUGUAGGGAAAUCUGACUCCUGUACAUGAGUUCUUCAUUUAUUUCUGAGCCAAGAUAAUUCUAGGAUUACCACUUAGAAAAUUGGGAGAACAGACUUGGGCACAGUUUCCACCCAGACAGCAUUGAAAAGAGGGGCAUGUAGACUACCUUUUCGGUGACAAGGUUAGAGACAGGUAUUGUGGUUAAAUCCCAUUAGCAAGAACAUUACACUCAUUAAGUAAAUGCUAGAGUGGGAACUGAGAAGUCUUCUUCCCCCAUCCCACCCCCAGUGUCCUCUCCUUCUCCUGAUGGCAUGUCCCUUCCAUGCAGGGGACUCCUUGCCCAGGAAUGCCUGUCUGCAGUAAAUCACAGUGUACUCCCAUGCCAAGUGGCUCCAAAGCCAGAAACACACUGUAAAGAACACAUGCCAUUCUGCAAAACUCUACCAGCAUGCACCAUUCCUAAAUUGUCUCUCUCUUAUUUCUUGGGUGACCUUUAGGUUUCAGAAAGUAUUCCUUUGUGUUAAAGCAAACACAAACUGUUCUGCAAGCAUCAUUCAAGAAUUUAAAGAUUCUAUUAAUCUGAUGUCUUAAUUGUUAUUGAGAAGAGGAAACAGGAGUGUCUUUGUUUCCCGAAUGACCACAUGCUUCUCAAAAGUGGCCCACAGUGUUGGAGUUUGCAUCUCAAGUUGCAGGCAGCUCUGAGUUCAGUGGCACUUCGGUGGAACUAAUUUCCACACAGAAUGAGGGGCAGCACAAACUAAAGCUGAGCAAAUUCAAAGUGCAUCACAUGGAUCCAAAAUGAAGGCGUUGUUCUCCCAUUCUGAAAAGUAGUUUAAAAUAAGGACUAAACAACGUAUGUCUCCUCACUGAAGGAGCUAAGCGGGCUACUCACACAGACACACGCCCCACAGUGAGGAGCAUCAACCUGGACUCAAAAGAGAAAGAAACAUCCCGGCAGCCCUGAGGAAAAAACAAACAUGAAUGUAAUUUAAUGAAAGUACUCUAUGUGCCUACUAUGUGUAAGACAUUGAGGGUCCAGGCACAAAAAAAGGAAGUUUAGCUCCCAUCUCCCGACCAGGUACCUGCUGGUAGGAAUCCCAUAAAUUCCCUGAAAAGGGAAGAACAUCCAGCUUAGCUGAAAAAGACAUACAGAACCCAAAUACUGUAGCUCCAUGGGCGGGGCAGCAUUUGAAAUGUGCCUUAAAAGCCCAGUAAAAAUUCACUUUUAAAAGAUGAGUGAAGCCGGAUACACUCUAGGAGGCUGAGGCAGGACAAUCACAAUCAGGAGAUCAACCCAGGAAAAUCUGCAGUUUAGCGACACCUUGACUCAGGAAAGAAGGGAAAAGACGGGGUGUGUAGCUCAGUGCAAAGACCCCAAGUGCAAUCCCCAAUACUGCUGAAUAAACAAGAGUAAGCAUUACGGUUGAAGAAAUGAAGAUAAACUAAGCUAUGAGGCAGAGACCAAAAUGAAUAAAUAAUACAGGUGCUGCUGCAUUUCUACUGAGGCUAAAACCCAUCAUAAAUAGAAAAAAUCAAAAAUGUAUUUACUAUUCUUCACCUACUGGACAUCACAGCUGUGCCUGGCCUGCCUUCCUUACAUACAGUUAAGCAGCACCACCCAACUCAAAGCCCAUUUUAUAAUUAAGCAUUGACUAUCUCAGUUAACUUUCUGAAUGACAAUAUCCAAAACACACUGCCCGCACGGUGCCACCUACAGUUUCUGCGUUUCUCCUGCUGAAAUGACUCACUGCUGCUGUCCAGACUGGGAAGAAGCAUCACCACCUAUCACCAGCCCAGAACAGACUGAAUUCAAACUUCAGAGCCUGCUUCCCAGCCUACCCUGUGGCUUUCUUCCCAUCACAAAGUUGGGCUGUCGCUAAGUUGCCCCAGAUGGGCUCAAGCUUGCCAACCUCCUGCCUCAGCCACCCAGAGUGCUGGGAUUACAAACGUGCGCCACCAUCUCUGGCUGAGGAAUUUUAAUCUUCAGAUGUUGUGUUGAAAGUGGGAAAGUCCAGAAAGUAAUCGAUCUAGACAAGCUCCUAAGUUACAUGGCUAUCUAGAAGGUUCCACUGCAGCUGACAUACUGAGAAUUGGCCAGAACUUCAAAACGUCGUUUUCUCUCCCACGGACUCCCAGUAGGAGCUACCCAGUUACGAAGAGGGCUGUGUAAAGAGCUGUCAGCGGCGAACAACGCAUUUUCCCCCUGGUUCAGUCACUUCCCUCCCCAGAAGUUACAAGUAUUCCCGAGGUGUGCACGCGCAUGCACGCACACCCCCCUAGAGUUGCUAGGCGUUCUACCUUCCUGAAGCAAAAAAGUAUCAACUGGAAUCUAGUAUUUGACAGGAAUACCCCACCUUUGAAUCUUCUCUUCCUGGAGGAAAAAUGCCAAGUUCUGGGCAGAAUUAACAUUGCUCAACUCUGAGGUUUCCAGAGGAAGUGGUCUGGAAUUUACCAAAACAAGGCUGGGAAUUGAACAAAUUAUAAUCGGGGUGCCUCGCCUCUUCCCUUCACGGGGUUGAUUCCCCCCCAUGCAGUGACGCCCAGAGCUUAUUUACUGAGUCAAUUAACAAAAGAUAACCUCCCAUUGUGCAGCCAUCAAUAAAUCAAUCGUGUUAAUACUAUCUUGGAAUGUCCCCCAUUAUUGACUUUCAUAUUGUUUACAUUAGACAUGUGAGAAAGCCAGAGCCCUUGAGUCGGCUUGUUUCAGCCUUAAUGGAUUCUGGAGUAGCCAUGACUGCACACAACUCGCUUUACAAAAUAUUUAAGUUUCCCUGGGGCUCACCUGCUUUCCGAUCGUGAGCAGGCACUCUCCUC
ensembl:lncRNA